UACGAAGGGGGCUAGCGUUGUUCGGAAUCACUGGGCGUAAAGCGCACGUAGGCGGAUCGUUAAGUCGGGGGUGAAAUCCCAGGGCUCAACCCUGGAACUGCCUUCGAUACUGGCGAUCUUCGAGUCCGGGAGAGGUGAGUGGAACUCCGAGUGUAGAGGUGAAAUUCGUAGAUAUUCGGAAGAACACCAGUGGCGAAGGCGGCUCACUGGCCCGGUACUGACGAUGAGGUGCGAAAGCGUGGGGAGCAAACAGG
rnacentral:rRNA from 1 species